rnacentral:rRNA from 1 species
CCUACGGGAGGCAGCAGUGGGGAAUAUUGCACAAUGGGCGCAAGCCUGAUGCAGCCAUGCCGCGUGUGUGAAGAAGGCCUUCGGGUUGUAAAGCACUUUCAGUAGGGAGGAAAGGGUGAGUCUUAAUACGGCUCAUCUGUGACGUUACCUACAGAAGAAGGACCGGCUAACUCCGUGCCAGCAGCCGCGGUAAU